GAUUCAUCAUUAUUAAAUUCUCAUAACUUGGUUGGAAUGGAGGAAAAUACACAGGUACAAGAGGAAAAAGAAACAAAGGAAAAAACAGUAGUUUCUGAAAGGGGUAAAAAAAGACUAGGUACAAAUCAAACAAACAUCUCCAUAGGAGGAGUAAUUAUAUGUUGGCUGGCCAUAAGGGUGAAAUUCAGUAGCCUUCUGGCUUGUAGGCGAUGAAACUGAUGCACUGCACUUGACGAACGUUAUCGAAUCCGAUAAUACGGAUCCAGGCCUGUGGGUAAGCCUUCUUGGCCUCUUGGACCUCAUUCAACACCUGGGUAGCGUCAGUGCACCCAAACAUGGGCAACUUCCACAUUGUCCAGUACCUUCCAUCGUAGUAUCCUGGUGACCUGUGGUGCUCACGGUACACGAAUCCGUGCUGCAUCCAUAACAUAUUCAUAAUAAUUAGUUACUAUUAUGCUUAAUUAAUACUUGUAAAUUUUAUAAAUCAGAGACAAAUAUUGACCUCAGUCUCGAAUUCCAAGCAAGGAACCCAUCCCUUUUGCAAAAGGUACUCAAUUUCCUUGAGCAAUUGCUCGUCAGACAAAUCAGGAAGGUAUGAGAGAGUCUCGUACUUCUUCUUGUUAAUUGGUGGCCACACCUACACUCCACACAUAAAACAAUUCAAAGUAAUUAGUACUAGCACGAAUUAGAAACGUAGUUAACUAUAUUGAUAAUGUAAAAAUUCUUUUAACCAGCAUGCAUUGGACACGUCCACCGUUGCUAGCAAUGGAAGUAAUGUCAAGGUUGUUCUUCCUAGUAACUGGGAAAGAUGCAGCAGAUUUUAGGCCAGUGAAGGGUGCAACCAUGCUAGCCUGAGUGACAUUGGUGCGGGUAGCAACGGCUGCCGAAGAGAUCACUGAGGAAGCCAUUGCGUUACUACUUAGUUUUAUUUUUCCUUGAGACAAUUGUUUUUUUGAAGAUGCUCAUUGCACUGUGGCUCCCGUCCUUUAUAUAAUGAAAAGAUUAGACAUAUUCUCUAUCUAACGGAUUGAAACAAGCAAACCUCAUCUUAGAUGAAUGGUGACCAUUGGAUUAUGUGGCUGUUGAUAUUACAAAGUUUAAUGGCCACAUGAAAGAUAAGAAAUUGGAGCUAAGUGUCUUUUUCAUUUCUUCUUUUUAAAUUCAUUAAGAAGCCAGAAUGGAGGUGCCACGAGUCAGAAGCUGGUGAAUCUUAUCUCAUCCAGAAUGGUUAAUUUUUCUAUGUUUUCAGAGAGUGCAGUUUAGCCUCAUCUUAUUAUUACAGUAGUGGAUGUAGUUGCAGUCUUUUUUGAUUGGACUUGGAGAGACCAUUCCGUAUUGCAGAAGGUCCAGACGUAUUUUUCUGGACGCAUCAUUUUCGUAUUUUUGGCCACUCCCAAGUUUUAUUUAUUUUCAACUUAGCUUAUAAAUGGUGACAAUAUAGACACCUCAUAUUCCAAAAAAGAAAAUUUAAAUUAGCCUUGAAUCUCAUUGCUAAAUUGCUGGUGACUAACAGGAUUAUUUGACAGUCCGCCAAAUAUUAUGUUAGCAAUGGAUUAAUUUUGCUGUUUAGUUACAAAAUUUUUUUGUUGCUUGUUUCUAAUUUUUAGUACGUAAUUUUAGGUCGCAAGUUCUUACUUUUAGUAAAUGGUUACUCCAUCCAUUUUUAAAUAAGUGCAUGUUUUGAAAUUAACAUGCCAUUAAUAAAUUGCUAACUCCUAGAAAAUAAAAUGUAAUUUUAUCAAUUUAUGCUAUAUACUACCAAAAGGGCAGCCUUUAGCCACGAUUUUGUAGCCACGACUGCAGAAAGUCGUCCCUAACAUUAUAAGACAAUUUGAGGUUUCCAACGCAUCACAAAGCGAUGCUAAAAUAUUGUGGCAAAAAAUAGGCGGGGUACUAAAAUUUCACUCCCUUUUUUCAUCCGCCCCCACUUUUUUUUUUUUUUUUGAAAUUAAUUUUUCUUUCCACCCAAAAUUUAAUUUAGUAGUAUAGGAAAUUAUUUUCAUUUUUUUGGCACUCAAAUAUCUGUUUAAUCCUAAAUUGCUACUCACCCAAAUCACUGCCUCCUCUCUAUCAUCGAAAUUCAACUUCUGCUAAUUGUUGCCACUCCUUUCUAUCAUUGUAAUCUUCUUGUGUUCUUAUUUUGCCACAAGUUUUAGGGCCAUUGAAGUACCUUUCUUAUUUUGGGUUGUAUUCUUCUUAUUUUGGAUUGCUGUAUCGAAUUUUUGUUGUUUUAUUGCUCACUCUUGCAUUGUUGUUCUUAUUUUGGUUUAUUGUGUAGAGUUAUAUUGAAUUUUCCUUUAUUUUGAAGGAAAUUGCUAAACCUAGUUUAUCGAAACUUGAUGAGAAAAGAAAUUGACUCAAUCUAAACGAGGUACUCUAAUCGACUCAAAAAUUAUAUGUAAAGAGCUAAUUAAGUGCUACUGAGGGUUGAGGGUUUAGCAGGUCUUAACUACACUAACUUUUUACUAUUUUGUUGUUUUCUUUACAGGUAAUUUCCAUACAAUUUGAAGGCUAUUGAAAUUAUGGCAUCUUCAAACUCUUUAUUAAGUUGGAACAUUUUUCGCCUGAUGAGGCUCUUUACUUGUUAUUAACUCUAUUUAUUUGCUCUUUCAAAGGGUUCAUUUUCAAAAAAUUAUGUAUAAUGUAUUAGUACUAUAUAGAAGCAUGGUAAAGUAGGCAGGUGUUCGUCGAUAUGCCUGCAUGUUCCGUAAUUUUACUAUAUCACUCUUAAUUAAUUAUAAUUACAUGUCAGUUACGUAUUAAAAAAUUAAUAAUAUUUAAUGAAAAAAUAAAAUAGACAUUUAUAAUAUACUGAUUCAGUUACUUCAACCAUAAUUUAUCAUAUCACUCCUAAUUAAUUGUUAUAAGUCAUCUAAGUAUUAAGAAAUUAAUAAUAUUUAUUAAAAAAGGUAAAAUAGACAUAAAAUGAUAAAUUAAGAAACAAUUACACAAAUAAUCAAACUUAAGGACCAUUAUUUCAAAAAAUCCCAUGUCUUUUAAAAUACUUCAUAAUAUACCACUUUUUAGUAUUUUUAUCCUUGAUACAUAUUAUUUCUCUCUCAAAACCGCACAACCACCUAUUUUUUAGCCCCACAUCUCUCCAUUUCAUUUAAAAAAUUUUUUAGCCCAAAAUAAUCGAUAACUUCUCUCUAAUUUUGAGUUUCAAUCACUUAUCUUCAUCCUCUAUCUAUUGCAAACGUCAUUCAAGUCAAUGCGGUAUAAUUUUUUUUUUUUAAUUUUUUUGAGAGGUGAGUUGACUGUUGAAGUAGAUUUUAAGAAAGAUUAAUUUAUAGUAUUAGUUUCAAAACACAUUUAUUGUAUUUUUUUUGUUUUUUUAUUUUUUGAAUUUUAUGGCUUCCGAUGAUUAACCAUCAUUCUGUUUGGAUGUUACCCAAAUUGAUAAGAGCAUUGCUGGUUCUUCAAGUGAUGAAGUGGUGGGUUUUAUUCCGGAUAAUUUUGGUAACAUUUUAAUUUUUUUUUGCGAAAAUCAAAACACUGCAAUGACUUUGCAAAGAUGAAGAGGCUUCGAAAAGAUUAUGCUACUCAAACUGAAAAAACAAACAUGCAAAUCAGUGAGGAAAACAAUAUAGGGAGAUGUACAAUUUCCCCUCAAAUAUGGUAAAAAAACCUUAAAAUUUUCACUUGAUACAUAUGACAUUUUUACUACGAUCUGAAUGCAUUUGAUGCUUUUGUUAGAUGAUACUUUUGAUAUAUUUUUGUAGUUGAUACUUUGUCUAUAUUUAAGUGUUUGUAACAGUUUAUUCUUCGUACUGAUAUUUGUUGGAUUUGAUACCUUUGAUAUAUUUAAAAUCCGUUAUGUGUAUUUAUAAUUUGCAUAUUUAAUACAUUUGAAAUAUUUUGAUAGCAAGUAUUCAUUGCCAUGUGUUAAAUCAAUAUACAUAUGUUUGAUAUAUUUUGAUAUAUAUAAUGUAUAGAUACAGUAUAUGUAUCAAUAUAUCUAUUUUAUACAUAUGAUACAUAUCAUACUAUAUUAUAAUGUUAUACGCCCGACCUAACUUGUUUAAUCUGCUGAUUACAAAGAAUGUGAACAUAGUUGUCAAAAAAAUGGCCUUUACAUAAUUUAAGGUAUUGUAGAAUACAUAAUCACAUGAUUGUUUCAAAGAUGAAGACAGGUCUAAAGGAAGAAAAAUUUAGAAUAUUUCGUCGUACCUAUUUUGAAUCAUAUCUCAGAAUGUUCAAAUGCAACGUCAAGGAUUAUGGAAUGAACAAAGCAAUGAAUGGAUAUGUUAGUGACAAUCAAGACAUGUGUUAGUGACAAUCAAGACCGCCUAAACCUAAAUACACAUACAUUCCUUAAGAUGAUCAGAAUUUGAUAGAUAUUGAGUAGUUGUUUUUCUGGUAGUCGUGUUCUGAUAGUUGUGUUCUGAUGUUGAAUACAUAUUUUGUGAUUUUGUUCUGAUAGAAUUUUCAUGAUGAAAUUGUGGCUUUUUGUGUCCUUGUUUUCUUUUUUGGUGGAAAAAUUAAAUGGUGAUUUGACAUUACAUAUAAUAACACUUAGUACUUUAUUUAUUAUAAUAAUUUUUUUUUACAGUUUUAUGUAUUAUUAUGUUAAAGUUAUUAUUUUUGCAGUUUACCAGUAACUUCAAAUCAUAUGUAUAUACAAUAUGAUUCAUUGCAUUCAAAAACAUUUAUCAAUGAAAUUGCAGUUCAUCAGUAUCUGAAUGAUAUAUAUCAAAUAUAUGUAUCAUUAAUGAUUUAUAUGUAUCAAAUAAAGUCAAACAAAAAUUAUUGCUGAUAAUUCUAAAAGGCUAGGAGUAAAGCAAGAGAUGAUCGAUCAUAAUAGGACUAACACAAGUUGAAAUCAGUAUAUUGAGAAACAAUGCUGAUUUAUUUUUUUGAAUGAAUUUAUGAAGACUUUUUAACGAACAAACGUUUGCUAUUGAAUAGGACUUAUUGAGAAUUAUUAUUCAUAAAGUGAAACUCAAUAUUUGAUGUUGAAUUGAAACUUUAUGCUUCAGACAAAGGGACUUAGUAACAAAAUUGUAGUUCUUAAGAAAUAAUGCAGUAAUAGCAAACUUUAAAUCAACUUAAAAUUGCAGUUGAUUAGUUAACUGAAUGAUAUGUAUCAAACAUAUGUUUCAUUAAUUAUUAAUAUGUAUCAAUCAACUUAAAAUUACAAUUAUUUUUUUUUGUUACACAAUUAAAGUUAUGUUAAAGUUACUGUUUUUGCACUUCACUAGUAACUUUAGUUUAUAUGUAUAUAACAUAUGUAUCAGUUACUUUGCAUUUUUUUUAGUUACCGGAAUGAUAUGUAUCUAACAAUGUUUCAAAGAUAUGAAUUAAUUAUGUAUACAAAAAAGCUAUUGUAGCGAUUCACUGUAAUUAAUAUUUUCAGCAAUUCAUCGAUCGUAAGUUGAAAAACUAUUGUAGCCAUUAGAUCUCUGUAAGAUGCUUUUUUGUGGAUUAUAAUACCGUCAACCUUAUACUAGUCAUAUCUAAUCUCAGAAAUUCAAAUACCUAAAUGCCCUUACAAAACACAGAUAGUCGACAGUUACACGAUGAAAAGAAAGAUGAAGAAUUUGUGUAAAAAUUGAAGUUUUCAAUCGAGUUUGAUUUGAAGAGAUGAAUGUUUUAAUUUUCUGUUGAUUUUUACAUUUUUUGCCCUUUUAAAACUGAUGAAACAUUAUUUACUCUCUCAAUUUAAGGGCAUUUUGUUGUUUCUUUAGUUAGCUAACAAUUUUUUUUUCCGAAUGUAUCAAAACACAUAUGUAUCAAGGCCAAAUAUAUGUAUCAAAAAACGUAAAAUAUAGUAUAUUAAGUAAUAGAUAAAGUUGUGUUAAAAAUAGUUAUUAGCACCUUAAUGUAUGAUAUUUAUGUAAGUUACCCAUAAAUUAACUCUUGAUAUUUUAAAUUAACUUGAUAUCUUAUAUGAGACCCACUUAAAUUUUUUUCACAAGUAUAUCUUAUAACAAUUUUUCUAUAUCACUUCUAGUUAGUUAUUUAAGACAUGUCUGCUUCGCUACUUCAAUCGUGAUAUUUGAUUUACUCUCGAAAUUAUAUCACUAUCACUUAAAUUGGAAUAGAAGAAAAAGUAUUAUAAAUCAUAAUAAUUAAAAAAUUUAAAUUAUCUUAAAAAUAUAAUUGACUAUCAAUGCCACAGAAGUUUGGAUAUGGAAAGUAUUACAAAUUACAAUAGCUAACAACUUAAAAUAGUAAAUUAGAAUGCCAAAAAAAUAUUAUAAACUACAAUAGCUAACAACUUAAAAUAUCUUAAAACAUAUUAAAAAUAUAAUUGAUUAUCUAAAUUAGAAAAAUUAUUAUAAAUCACAAUAACUAAAAACUUAAAUUAUUUUAAAAAUAUAAUUGACUAUCAGUGCCACAAAAGUUUGGACAAAGAGAGAAUUAUAAAUUACAAUAGCUAACAACUUAAAAUAGUAAAUUACAAUGCCAAAAAUAUAUUAUAAAUUACAAUAGCUAACAAUUUAAAAUAUCUGAAAACAUAUUAAACAUAUAAUUGAUUAUCUAAAUUUUAAUUGUGUCACAUCAACUGAGAUAAGAAAAUAAUAUAUAUUGGGUUCGUGCUAGCACGUGCCCCUCGAUAUCUAGUAGUAAUACAUAUAAGUGGCUUGGGAAGCAGCUGGAGGUUGUCCUCCCAACUUGCCGACCAAGCCCACUUUUUACAUAUUAUUAUUUUUCUCCAUUUUAAUUUGUUUGUCUUAUGUUUAUCUGUUAUGUAUUUAAAAAUUAGAUAAAAGUUACUAUAAAUUAUAAUAAUUAACGAUUUUAUUUGAAGGACAUAAAAAAGUUUAUUCACUCUCAAAAUUCUAUCAGCCACACAACUUGGGAUAGAAGAAGUAACAUAUAUUAUCUAAAAAUAACAUAAAAAGUAUCUUAAAUCAUAAUAAUUAACAACUUAAAAUAUUAUCGACAUAUGAUUAUAUAAGUGGUUUGAGAAGUAGUUGGAGGUUGUCCUCCCAGCUUAUGGACCAUGCCACUUUUUAUAUAUUAUUAUUUUUCUCAAUUUUAAUUGAUUUUUCUUAUUUUUUUUUAUCAAUUAUGUAUUUAAAAAUUACAUAAAAGUUACUAUAAAUUACGAUAAUUAACGAUUUAAGAUAUUUGAAGGACAUAAAAAAGUUUGUUCACUCUCAAAAUUCUAUCAGCCACAUAACUUGGGAUAGAGGAAGUAACAGUAACAUAUAUUAUUUAAAAAUAACAUGAAAAAUAUCAUAAAUUGUAAUAAUUAACAAUUUAAAAUAUUAUCGACAUAUAAAAAAUUUGAUUGAUUCUCCAUAUACUAUUACAAUUACAUAAAUUGGGAUAAGAGCAACAUAUAUUAUUUGAAAAUAGUAGAAAGUACUAUAAAUCACAAUAAUUAACAACUCAAAAUAUUUAAAAACUAUAUAUGAAAAAUUGGGUUGACUCUCUAAAUUCCAUCAGUGUCACAUAAAUUGAGACAAAGAGAGUGUCAUAUAUUAGAUGAAAAUUAUGUAAAAAUACUACAAAUUACAAUAAUUAACAACUUAAAAUAUUUAAAGACCAUACAAACAUCUACAAAUAUUAUAGAAAACAUGGUUGAUUCUCUAAAUUACAUCAAUGACACAUACAUUCAAACAAUGAGAGUAAUAUGUAUUGUCUUAACUUAUAUAAAAAAUAUUGUAUAUCAUUAAAUACUUGAAAUAUUUAAAGAUCGUAUAAAAAAUUUAAUUGACUCUCCAAAAUUUAUCUGUAUCAUAUAAAUUGAGAAAAAAAUUAGCAUAUGUUGAGAUUGUGCUUACACGGGCUCUUGUGUCUAGUAUCUAUAAAUGUGGCUACAAAGUCAGUUAUGACAGUGGAAAGUUAAACAAUGAAGGCUUUACUUGAGUGUUGAUUCAAUUGGCCAUAUUUGCCUUCUUUUAGUUCCCCGUUUGUGACCGAAAAUAAAUAAACACAUAAAACAGAAAAAUUCUAAAACUAGAUGGACUCUUUUGAGAUGAGAGAUAAGGGAUAGCUAAUUUCAUAAUUAAUUUUAGAAUGACUAUAUUCCAUGUUUGAUUGAAAUAAAUGUUUCGAGAUAAGUUGUUUCUCAAUCAAACGAGCCUUGCUAGUUUCCUAUAGUCUUGUUAGUUAUUAGUUUCCUUGUUAUUUCUUUAAGUAUUUGGGUUGCAAUUAUUUUAGUGACAUGUAUGACCCCUAUUAUAUGUGCCGCUUUUGGGUUUAAAUUUUUAAUCAUUCUGUAGUAUCUGGAUAUAACACUUCUUAGUAUUUAGUUAUUUGGUUCUAGCUACUUUUAAAUAAGUUGUCGUCAUGUAUGAUACAUCUAAUUAACCAUGAAAAAGGAUCAACUACAAGGAAGGAAUCAGAAGUUUUAUCGUGGAAUAACUUGUUAAUAUGUAAGGUUUAUUUAGUGAAGCUGUGAGGUACUGACUAAUAUUUUGCUUUCAAUGAAUUACAUUCUUUAUCUUGGUGUCUUUUUAAAAAAGUCUAUUUAUUUUAAGUACCAAUUGUUGGGUUUUUAAGAGGUGGGAAUGGAAAAUAAAUAGACUUUUUUAAAAAGACACCAAGAUAAAGAAUGUAAUUUGAAUAGGCACCUUUUCGGUUUGGAUGAUUAUGAACUUUCCAAUGGGUUGUGACUUUUUUGAAGAGUUGUACCUUUUUUUGAAGAGUUGCACCUUUUAUGAAGGGAGACACCUUUCUGAACCAUUGCUUCUCAUCACGAAGAAACACCUUGACGGAUAUAAAUACCUGAAAUUUUUUCUCAUCUAUAGACAUGAAAAUUUUGAAGAAAAAAAUAUUCGUCUUUCUUAAAAAGAAACUCUAUUGUGGUUUGCUACCAUUGAGUGCAUUUGUGAUUUGACAGAAAUUGAGGUACUGCUAUUCUGUUGAAUUGUGAUUCAUUUUACCCUGGGAAGAUAUAUUCUAUAACCUCGGGUACUUGAGGAAAAUUAUUUCCUUAAGAACACACCGUGAAUUCGGUGGACUUGAAUCUUUUUAUUUCAUCUUUUUCUCUUAAAGUUGGUUUUACUAUUUUUCAGAAUAUAGUUUGAACUUCAUAUUGAUAUUUCUUCAACUGUUUGAACUUGUGUUUGAAGUUUUUGAAACUUCAUUUUAAUAGUUCAUAAGUUGAUUGAACUUGUGUUGAAGUUCUUAACAUUUGAUUUUUCUAUUUCAAGAAAAUAGUUUGAACAACCUUUUUUGGUUGUUCAUAAGUUGAGUUGAACUUAUUGUUAAAAGUUUAAAGUUGUAAAUACGGAGUUUAAACUUCAUAUGAUUGUCCAUAUGUUAAUUUAAACAUGUAUUUGAUGUUAUUGUUGAAAAAUAUAGAUUUUACUAAACCCGUAAAAAAAUAAUAACAAACUUAAGAAAAUUAUAAAAAUAUUUAUUAUUGUGCUUGUUUGGUGAAAGAAAGAAUUUUUUUCCACCAUUUAUAAAUCAAGUACUUGGUUAAUAUGUAUUGGAUCUGAUUUUGGGGAGACUAAAAUCUUUUGAUUUCUACUCCCUCGGUUGGAAAAAUAUAAGAAAUUCAUUGAAAAAUUAGUGUGGGAAUUUGGUUCGAAGAAUAUAAAAACUUCACCAACUCGAUAAACUUUCUGUAUUGAUAUCUAGUGUUUAAAAUUUGUGGUGUUUAACUUUCUUUGAAUUUGAUUCUGAUUUGAAGUCAUACAAACUUUGUUAGAUUUUGAAGUUCAUUCGAUUGAUGAUUUGAAGAUAUAAAAACUGCAUCGUUGGUUAGAAGCAAGUUGGUAAAAAAUUAAAGUCUUUAUCGUUAGUAUUCUGAAAUACUAAAGUACAUGUCAAAGAUUGACAGAAAAGUGUCAAAUAAAAUUGAACAACAAAUUGAUUCGAUUGUGAAUGGUGUUAUCCCAAAGACAACCAAUGUUGCUUCAUUAAGUCGUUCAGAUAUUGCUCUAGCAGUGAAAACGAUAGAGAAACAAAAAAAUAUUUUGGUGUGAACUUCAACGAAUGACAACAAACCUUGGCUGACCAAACUUGAAAUGCAAAUGUUCACAGGUCAAGAUCCUCACGUUCCGAAAAAAAUAAUGAUUGAAAACCAAUUGUCUGGUUUGAAAGAUCUUGUGAGUCAUCUAAAGGUAGAAGAGGAUAAUGAGUUAAAUGAGAAAUUGAUAUGAUGUGAAAACAUGAUACUUUCGAUACUUAAAACCGAUAAUUUAUGCGUGAACUUAGGGUGUUUUGUUAGAUAUGAUGCACUUUGGUGUGAAUUACAGGUAAAAUAGGUCAAAAAUAGUACUUGAAAGUAAAGAGAAGAAAAAGACCUGAAAAGGACUAACUUUGAUCAGUAUAUGAGUCAACACCUAAGUCAUAACAAAUCAAUACGACUCAUAUGCUGAAUUGUAAGUACAACAGAACCAAAAAAGAAAUUGAAGAACCAAAUCUGAGAAAGAUACGACUCAAGUAUAUCAACCAUAAGGCAGGAUAUGAGUCGUAAGCUGAAGCCGUAAGCAUAACAGAAUCCAAGAUACUAUCUAGGAAUUGAAGUGUUGGAUGUAUAUGAGCCGAAAGUCUGAGUACAACUCGUAUCAAGAUAUCGUAUCUAAACCAGUGAUCAAGUUUUGAAAAGACUAAAGUCCCAGUUGGAUACGGAUGAAGAAUCCGAGUCGUACACAUGGUUACGACUUGUGAACUGGAAUCGUAAGAUGAGAAGAGAGUUUAAGCCAUAGGCAGACUAGGUGCUGGACUGGUUACGACAAGGCAGGGUACGACUCGUAAGCUGAGGAUACGAAUGACGAUCGAGUCAUACCGACUUAACUUUACCUUUUCUAUUUUAAUAGGAAUUUACUGUUAUUUUGAGACACUAUAAAAACCCUAGGGUUUAUCUUUUAUUAGGUUAGCUUCUAUUACAUUCUACAACAUACUUUACAAUUGUUCUUGAGAUUUUAGGAUUUUAUUCAAUUCAAAACUUUGGAGUUUAUUCAUCUUAUUAUUGUGCGAUUGAUUUUAUGUAUUCUUCAUUGAUAAUCAUGAUUUCUUGCAUAAAUUUGAGUGACUAAUCUCCUUAGCUAGGGUUGUGGGAAUCCUGGCGGAUUAGGAACGUAGCGGAAGCGUGAAACAUAUUUGUUCUAGGGUUAUGCAUGUAUUCUAAUUCUUCUUCAUUACAACUGAUUUCAAGUACUUGCAACAUCUUGAGAUAAAAUCCUGUAUUCACAUUCUUUUAAUAACCAAGAAAGCUUGUGAUUGGGAAAAGAAAAUUAGGACAGUAAUUUAGGAUUUCUACCUCCAUCUUAUAGUCCAAGCAUUUUAUCUUAUCACUUUGGCCAAUAACCAAGGAUCAAGUGAACUGGGGCCGUAGCAAGGGGCAACUAAGUGACAUCCGACGACGAUAACCAAGUCAAAGGGUGAGAUUUAUCUUCGCGCUCAAAAGGUGGUUGAUAAUACAUAGCUUGUAGGCUUUGUAUGCAUAGCAACAGAACAGUGGGUUGAUCACUGAAAAACUACAAAGUUAAGAUGUCAGGGGGAACACAGAUCUAGCGUUCGUCUCUGAAUGAUUACAACUCAAAAGCACUCAAGAAUUGGUUACUCUUUCAUACUGAUAACAAAAUUCCCGAUUUACUUUCUUGCACUGCUCAAGGAUUAAACCAAAAAAAGCAACUGCUCACGUUUUCCCUGUGGGAUCGACAACCUAGUUGGGUUAUUAUAUUUGCAUCGACUGGAUUAUACUUAUGAUUGAGGUAUAGUUUUGGGCGACAUCAAAUUUUGGCAUUGUUACCGGGGUCUACGGUUUGAGGAGUAAUUGGAAUUGGUGAAGUUAUUGAGUUUUUAGUUUUCUAUUUUUGAUUUGGCAUAUGCCGGUGUAUGCUAAGCACUAGGAGUAGAGGCAAUCCCUUACCCUCUUUUGAUCUAGAUCCAUAAUGGAUCCUUCAAAUACCUAGAAAUAUGUCAGGACAAGUUCGUGAAAGGGUUCAAGAUCCCUCACUUAUGGACCUAAAUGCAAAAAUUUCGUGUGAUCCACUAGACACGCAAAAUCUUAUAGACAUUCAGACACAACAACUGUUGGAGCAAGAACGGAAAAAAGCUAAAGAAGCUAGACUGGCUGCUGAAGUCAAAGUAGCAUAACGAGGUGGAUUAGCCAAACCAAGACAGGUUAUUGAUCAUCGAGUUCAGAGGGGCAGAGUUCCAUAUAUUCUAAUAAAUCAACAUUUAGAUCCAUAUGAUGAGGAUGAUGAGGACAUAAUCUAUGUUGACCCUGCUGAGACAGGAGCUAUUAUUUCUCUUGCAUUAGCCCCUAAUGUGAAGUUCAAUAUUACUAGUGCUCUGAUCCAAUUGUUGAAUCUGAAAGGUGUAUUUUCAGGAGCAGCUAAGGAUGGCGGGAUCAUGCACCUUACUAAUUUUCUUGGGAUCUACACAAAUUAUAACCUCCCAGGGGUUAAUUAGGAAACAUUGAGAUUGAGGGUGUUCCCCUUUUCUCUAACUAGAGAAGCAUCUUUAUGGCCAGGGGAACUACCAAGAGGAUCUAUCACAAUGUGGAAUGAGUUGAAGAAAUAAUUUUUGAGCAGAUUCUUUCCUCCUGCACUGAUGUUAUAGCUGAAGGAUGAAAUUUAUAAUUUCAGACAAUUAUCUACAAAAUCGAUGUAUGAGGCAUGGUUUAGAUUUAAGAAGAACUUGAGCUUAGUGAUAAACUACAGAAUCAUAGGAUCUAAUCUAUCACAAAUUUUCUAUAGAUCACUAAGUGAAAGUUCGAGAGCCAUGAUAGAUACUAUCUAUGGAGGUUCAUUUAUGCGUCUUCAUUAGGAUGCUACACAGGAAUUUCUUGAUGACAUGGCAGUCACCAAUAGAGGAUGGCAUACCAGAGACUCUGACUAGGGUAAUGGUACAUAUGCUAUUGGAGCGACAAACACAUAUAGUGUCGGUAAUGAUAUGGUUGCAUAAGAGGUGGCACAACUUCGGACUGAUAUUGGUUUACUCACAAAAUAGUUUUCUUUAUUAAAUGCUGCAAAAGUGAACACAAUAGAAGCACAGGGAUUCGCACCCAAACCAUUCGAGAUUGCAUCUGAAGAAGAGACAAACUAUUUUAAUCAUAGAUUGGCGAAUUUUCAAGCCCAAGGACAAGAGAAUCAAGGUCGGAACUAUUAUAAUAAUAGAUAAAAAGAUAAGAGCAGAGACAGAGAUGGUGAUUGGUGACAUAAGGAUGAUUAUAAGGAGAAGAGUGACAAAUACAUUCCACCAAGCAGCCGAGAUACAGAGUCUAAGGUUGAGGCUAUCUUGUCUAAGCUAGUGAAAAGGCAACAAAGUCAAGAAAAUUCUCUGAAAGAUAUAAAAGCAGAUUUGUGUGGACUCAAUCAAAAAGUUGAAUCACAUGCCAUAAUAAUUAGGUAAUUGGAGCAACCGUUUGGGCAGAUGUCAUCCACAAUAAAUCAAAGACAGCCUGACACUCUUCCAAGUAAUACAAUAGUAAAUCUCACAAAUGGCAGCCUUUUUCAUGCUAUUACUACUCGGAGUGGUAAGGUUACUGUAGAUCCACCUACACCUACUGUUGAUGAGAAGAAGCAAAAUGAUGAUGAGUGAGCUGAUGUGGGAAGCAGCAGCAAGCAGAGUAUAAAAGAUGAGAAGGCUGCAGGUUUGAAACCUAUUCUAAGGCCACUUUCUCCCUAUCCACAAAAACUGCAAAAGAGACAAAAAGAGGUUAAGUAUCAGAAAUUUCUAUCCAUGUUAAAAGAGAUGGCAAUUAAUAUACCAUUGGUUGAAGCAUUGGAGAAGAUGCCUAGAUAUGCAAAGUUUAUAAAAAAGCUGAUCACGAAGAAAAGAGCAGUCAGUUAUGAGCCGAUUGAUAAUGUCCAUUAUUGCAGUGCUGUAGCCACUAGGUCAUUGGUGGAGAAGAAGGAGGAUCUUGGUGUAGUCACUAUACCUUACACCAUUGGAUAUUUCCACUUUGCAUGUGCUUUGUGUGAUUUAUGUGCUAGUAUUAACUUCAUGCCAUUUGCAGUGUUCAAGCAAUUGGGGUUGGAUGCUCCAAAACCCACCACCAUGAGGCUAGUCAUGGCAGACACAAGUAUGAAGAAGCCAGUUGGUAUCCUUUAUGAUGUUCUAUUAAAAAUAGCUUCUUUUAUUUUUCAUGCUCACUUUGUUAUUUUAGAUGAUGAAGUGGACUUUUAAGUCCUAAUUAUUCUUGGCAGACCUUUUAUGGAUAAAGGUAGAAUGUUGAUUGAUCUGAAGUGGGGACAUCUGAUGUUGAGAUUCAAUGACGAGCUGGUGAUAUCCGACAUAUGCAAAUCCAUAAAGCAACCUGAUUAGUUGAGGGUGAUAUCUGUGAUUAAUGUGGAUGACGAAGAAGCAGAUUCAUUCCAUAAUGUUGAUGUGGUGACUUUGUGGGAUGAUAGUUUUUAUGCAGUUGUUCCUAUUGAAGAAACACUAGGUAUUGAAGCACUUGCAGUUGUGCUCAUGAAUUUUAACUCUGAAGGCAUAGAAGAAUAUGAGGAGAUUGUUGGUGCAUUGUAUGGUACUGGUUGUAAUUUCACACCAAAAAAUCUUGAUCUAAAUUUAAAGAAUAGAACAACUCCACCCACUCGCCCAUCUAUUAAGGAGCCACCGAUGUUAGAGUUGAAAGCUUUCCCAUCUCACUUGUAAUAUGUAUUCUUGGGGGCCAAUAACACUUUGCCAGUCAUUAUUGCAGCGGACCUGAAACAGUCAGAAGUGGAAGUAUAUUAUCAGUUUUACUAAAUUUUAAGAGGGCCAUUAGAUGGUCCAUUACAGAUAUUGUGGGCAUUCCACCUGGUUUAUGUACUCACAAAAUUCAUCUUGAGCUGGAUUGUGUUCCAUCUAUUGAGCACCAGUUCCACCUUAAUCCUCCUAUGUAAGAGUUGGUUAAGAAAGAGAUAACCAAGUGAUUGGAUGCUGGUGUGGUUUUUCCCAUUACUGACAGCAAGUGGGUAAUCUUGGUUCUAUGCUUUCUAAAGAAAGGUGGAAUAACUGUUGCACCUAAUAAGAAGAAUGAGAAGGUGCCUAUGAGACCAGUCACUAGAUGGAGAGUUUGCAUGGACUAUAGAAAGUUGAAUGCAUGGACUCAGAAGGACCCUUUUCCUAUGCUGUCAUGGAUCAGAUGGUCGACAGGUUAGUAGGCAGAGGAUGGUAUUAUUUUCUUAAUGGAUACUCGGGUUAUAAUUUUAUUACUAUUGCAUUAGAAGACCAAGAAAAAACCACUUUUAUAUGUCCUUAUGGGAUCUUUGCAUUCAAACGAAUGCCAUUUGGGCCAUGCAAUACCCCAACCACAUUUUUGAGAUGUAUGAUGUUUAUUUUCUCUGAUAUGGUGGAAGACACCAUUGAAGUUUUUAUGGAUGAUUUUUCAGUGAUGGGUGACUCCUUUGAUGGUUGUCUCAUUCACCUGGAAAAGGCUCUACAAAGAUGUGAAGAAUGCGACUCGGUACUCAAUUGGGAGAAGUUCCAUUUCAUGGUGAAAGAAGGAAUUAUGCUUGGGCACAAGAUUUUGAAGAAGGGUAUAGAGGUUGAUCGAGAAAAGAUUGAGAAAUUACCUUAUCCAAUUUCUAUGAAGGGAGUUAGAAGUUUUAUUGGUCAUGUAGGUUUUUAUAUAAGAUUUAUCAAGGAUUUCUCAAAGAUUGCACGUCUUUUUUGCAAACUUCUUGAGAAGGAUGUAAAAUUUAAUUUUGAUGAUGCAUGCAUGAAGGCUUUUGAAAGCCUUAAAGAGAAGUUGGUGACUGCUCCGAUCAUUGUGUCUCCUGAUUGGUCCGCAAUUUUUGAGAUUAUGUGUGAUGCUAGCGAAUUGGCCUUAGGGGUUGUACCGGGAUAGUAAAAAAAAGAUCCUUCAUCCCAUCUACUAUUCUAGGAAGGCUCCAAAUCCUGCUCAAAAGAAUUAUACUAUCACGGAGCAAGAAUUAUGGUUGUGGUUUUUGCCUUUGAAAAGUUUAGUUCUUACUUGAUUGGGACCAAGGUGAUAUUACACACUGAUCAUAUAGCAUUACAGUCCCUAAUAUCUAAGAAGGAUGCAAAGCCGAGGUUGAUUCGAUGGGUGCUAUUAUUAUAAGAAUUUAACUUCAAAGUGAAGGACAGAAAGGGCAGAGAUAAUCUAGUUGCAGAUCACUUGUCUAGACAAGGGUAGGUAGCUAUGCUGAAGGUUGCUACUGGAGUGGAGAUUGAUGAUAGUUUGUCGAAUGAACAUAUAUUACCAGCCUCCUAAGAUCUUAUUCCAUGGUUUGCAGACUUUGCAAACUACCUAGCCAACGAUCUAGUUCCAAAAAAUCUUUCAUAUUAGCAAAGAUAGAAAUUCAUGCAUGAGGUGAGAAAGUUUUUUUUGGGAUUAACCUUAUAUUUUCAAAAUUUAUGCAGAUGGAAUCAUUAGUAGGUGCAUACCUGAGGAGGAGAUGAUGAGCCUACUUGAGGCUUAUUAUUCAUUGCCAGUUGGAGGUCAUUAUUGUGGGGCCCAUACAGCUUAUAAGAUCCUGUAAUGCAGCUAUUAUUGGCCGACAAUAUACAAAGAUGCUCAUGACUAAGCAGUUACUUGUAAUUAAUGCCAACGACAAAGUACUAUUUCUAGAAGACAUGAAUUACCUAUAACUCCCAUUCUUGAAUUAGAAGUGUUUGAUGUAUGUGGCAUAGAUUUCAUGGGACCUUUUGUGAGUUCAGAUGGCAUUAAAUACAUACUUGUGGCUGUUGACUAUGUUUCAAAGUGGGUGGAAGCAAUUGCACUUCCCAAUAAUGAAGCAAGGAAUGUCACAACAUUUUGAGAAAAAAUAUCUUUUCACGAUUUGGUAUGCCACGUGCUACUAUUAGUGACGGAGGGUCACAUUUUUACAAUUAUCUAUUCAAGAGUUUGCUUGAUAAAUAUGGAGUGAAUCAUAAUGUAGCAACACCUUAUUAUCCAUAUACUAGUGGACAAGUCGAAGUAUCCAAUAGAGAAAUCAAGUCCAUAUUAGCAAAGACUGUUAAUGCCAAUAGGACUGAUUGAGCUAAGAAGUUAGAUGAUGCAUUAUGGGCUUACCAUACAACUUAAAAACCCCCCAUAGAUGCUUUAAUUUAUCAACUUGUGUAUGGAAAGGCUUGCCAUUUACCAAUUGAGCUUGAAUAUAAGGCACUAUAGGCAUUGAAGAAGCUGAAUUUAGAGUGAAAGGAUGCAACUAAGUCAAGAUUGAAUAACAUCAAUGAGUUGGAUGAAUUCUGAUUCUGCGCAUAUGAAAGUUCAGCAAUUUACUAGGAGAAGAUGAAGCUGUAUCAGGAUAGAAAAAUUGAGAAGUGGGUUUUUAAGAAAGUUGGCCAAGUGCUACUAUAUAACUUUAGGCUUCACUUGUUUCCUGGAAAGUUGAGGUCUAGAUGGCAUGGUCCAUUUGUAGUUUCAAAAGUUUAUCCCUAUGGUGCUUUAGAACUACAGAAGGAUGGUGCACAAAUAUUCAAGGUAAAUGGUCAUAGAGUAAAACGCUAUUUGGGAAAUACAGAAAAGGUGAAUGAAAUAGCUGAUAUUAACCUUGACGAAGGCUGAGUAGUCAAGGCAACUCCAUCUUGCCGCGAUGUUAAAUCAAGUGCUACAUGGGAGGCAACCCAUGAGUCUAGUUGUUGAAAGCUGAGUAUCCAUUUAGACACGUCGUGUCGCGAUGUUAAAUCAAGCAUUGUGUGGGAGGCAACCCAUGUUUUUGUACUUAUUUCUUUCACAGGGUAAUAUGUUGGUUCAAUGUGCAGGACUAAAAGAGUUCAAACACAUAUCCUAAGGAGUUAGAAAGGUCUUAUACAGACUCUUCACGAGCCGUAUCUAUAUGGUACGAAUCAUGGGUUGGAGUCAUAAUGACCUGGGAGAUGAAUCAGAAUAAAAAAUUAAGUCUCUAGUUACGGAUCGUGACCAAGAGUCGUACCCACUCCAGAAUCCAGGUAAGAAUCCUAGGCCAUACGAGUCAAGGAAAUGACCUUUAAGCCUGGGUAUGAACCGUAUCGACAAUUCGUACCCUAUCUUACUAGGUCAGUACUCGGGUUGACCUGAUCCAAAAUUUAACUAAAAAAAAAAAUAUUGACCUGAUAGGACACCCGAGGCUUCUCACCUGUACUUGCACCAUUUUCUUUAAAAUCUUAAACUCAGAUCCUAAUGAUUAAAUUAUUUUCGACUGAAUGUAACUACCAACAACUUUAAUUUCUCGAUUUGGUGUGAUUUUUAACUUUAAUUUGAGGAUUUUGAGAUUUAAAAUUGGAAUCCUCUACAAACACAUACCAAGUAAGUUCUCAAGUCUAAUUUUUCUAUAUUGUACCUUGUAAAGUGUAGUAUGAGGUAUUGACAACUUGGUUUAAGUGAAAUUUCUUCAAAUAUCGAUUGUUGGUACCCUAUAUUUCGAUUUUUGAUUUUGAAAAUGGAGAAUAGGGAUAAACUGGGGUUUGUACUUGGAAUUUUGUGUGUUGAUGUAUUUUGAAAUAAUGGAUAUAUCUGAAUAAAGUAAUGGGUAGAUUGGGAAUUUCAUCGGAGUCAAACUUUAAAAGUUGGACUUCUAUGUUGCAGUGGAUACGAGACUCUUUACAACUCAUACCCACCAGUACAGGAGUCGUAAUGAGACUCGUACCCACUUACAACAUGGAAAUCUAAAAAAUUCAAUGUUCUGGAAUGGAUACAACUCAACCUUACGAGUUGUAUCCAAAUGUUAUGACUCGUACAUAUAUAUCAUACCUACCUGGGAAGAAAAUAGAUUGAACAAAAGUUUUUGACCAGCUUACGACUGUUGGCACGAGUCAUAACCAGAUGGUACGAAUGGUGAGGAGGAGUUGUAAGCUACCCAGUAAAUAAUUAUAAUGUGCUGUUUGGGUCACGACUCAGGUAUACGAGUCGUACCCAGUGGUUACGAAUGAUAACCAACUCUCGUACCCAACUAAACUAAGGCACAUUAAACUUUUAUUUUCAAUUUUGCUUUUCUUUUCUUUUCUUAGUAACUAACUUUAGAAUAUUUGUAGGAAAAAUGCCUCCAAAGUAUGCUUCUUCUUCUAAAAAUGUGGCAAAGAAAGGAAAUAAACAAAAGCAAGUCAAAAGUGAAGAAACUAGUGCAUUCGUAAGUUUGACUAAAAGUAGAGGAGAGGAGUAUACUAGGACAUCUUCCAAGAAAGCUUUACAAAAAGCAAAGGCAGCAGCUAAAUUUAAGGGGAAGAAUGCCAUUACCCAAGACUCUGAUACUCCAUCACUGAAAUCACUAAGAAGAAAGAAUGUGAUUGUCUCCCCUCCACAUACACCAGUACCAAGUGACGACUAUGAUGAUGAGGUUGAAUUUAGAUUAGUCGAGGAGACUACAGAGUAAAUCCAUGGUCACAAGGUGGAUGUACUACCGAUAGCUAGACAGGAACCCCCAUUAGCAUUAGCCCUUGUUUCGAUGCCCAUCGUUGAAUGAUGGGGGUACCCGGAUAUGUAGGUGACCUUUAAUAUAUGGUUGUCUCAGCUACCAAAUGCGAAUGUUAAGAGAGUAUUAUAUGAGCAGCGGUGAAUGACGACCACAGGUAUGGGUGAAUUGCCUAAGUUUGCUGAAUGUUUCAGAUAAUAUGGCUUGGACUGAAUGAUGAUUGAACUGGGUACAUAUAGUGAGGUGCUUAUUCAGGAAUUUUAUGUAGCUUACAAGGGUGACCUAAUGCGGUUAUAUCCAUAGGGCAUGCUAUGAAAGGGAGGAGAACCUAUUACCUCCUUGGUUAUUGGAGGUGUUAGUGUCGACAUUUCUCCCAGACUACUGGGAGAUUUUUUUAUGGGCCAGCAUAUCAAGCUCCGAAUAACACAGCCGAGCUGGACUACAAAAUAAUAGAGAUGAGGAAGAUUAUCAACCAAAUUUUAGGUACGGAUAAAAAGAUGGUGAUGUUUUGAUGUAUAGCUUAGAGGAUUGCUGCAUAUAGUGAGUAUGCCACUUGGGUUGCAGGUAGUAUUAGGGAUUUACAGCAAAUCAAGAAGAAUUACCUCACUUUUGAGGGUAUGGUAGGGUGGACUAUAGCCCGUUACAGGCUAUGUCUGACUACAGGUAAUGAUAUCCUGAGAUCAUUCUAGGCUGCGAUGAUAGAUAGUUUUACACGUGGAUUUGCAUUUGAUGUUGGUUAGUUCCUUGCCUAAGAGUUGAAAAACAGGGCUGUUGCAGAGCAGAAGGCAUUGCUAGAUUACCCUUACAUGAUCACAUAAAUAUGUUUAGCUGCGGGGGUAUUGAAGAUUCCGGGCAUUGAUGAGAUGAUAGAGGCCCAUCAGACUUUUGAUAUCGAGCUUAUUUUUGACGUAGCCAACCCACUAGAUCAACCUAUGAGGCAGACAACAGAGGCUAUGGCAGGAGCUUUCCCAGAAGAUGAUUAAACAGAAGCUACUGCUACUGCUGAGGCCACUAAGACAGGUGCGUGGACUGAGACUGCACCCACAGAUAAAGCAAGUACUUUUAGUGCUCCACCGCUAGUUCAGUUUGUAUGACCUAGGCCAAGAGAUAUGCCCUCUGGUGUUAUGAUGAUUUCACAAGCUGCGUGGACAGAGGUAGUGAUUUAGUUAGCUACACUUUUUGCAAAGUUAAACAACAUGGAAGGUGAAGUACAAAGUUGGGAUGAAACGAUAGCUAGAGGUAUCGGAUAGGCGUGUGUAGGACCACCUUGACGUAUUUGAGUCAACGAUCACUCAACAAUUAGGGAGUGGGCAGAUGCCCAAUAUUGCUGCUAUUCAAGUAGAGAUUACUGAUAUAAAAGGUAUGGUUGCUGAGUUGUUCGAGAGGUUGGUGAUUGUUGAGACCAUUAUAGAAACUAUGAUUCCCACGGUCGAGGUACUAAAUAUUUAGGAAAUCUCGGUGGAUGAGAAAAUUAUGCAGACUAGCCAGAAAGAGUAAAAAAUAAGAGAAAGAAAAGAAAGAAAAGAAGAAAGUGGAAAGAGAUACUAAGAAGGAGAGAUGUCAUGGCAGCCAAGAUGGGCAGGACCAAGAGAUGGCUAGUGAAUCUGGCGGAGUAAGAGAUACAACUCCUGAUGCUGAGGGGGUCGAUGCUGUGCCCUCGCCUAUUGUUGAUCCAGUCUUGGUUGGAAUAAUUUUUGAUGAGAGUGGGACUCGAUUUGAGGUCCCACAUACAAAAGUUGAUGCUACGGUGCCUUGAGCUUCUAGGUAUGACCCUUUUUCCUUACUCUAUCUUAUUUUUAUAACACUGAGAACAGUGCAAUAUUCUUAAGUUGGGGGUGGGGUACCAAAAAUUUUUGGAGCAGUUUGAAAAUUUUUAGAUGUAGCUAAAACUGAAAAUCUGUUAUGACUUGUAGGUGUGAUACAGGCAGCUGAGAUAGGGAGUAGAUCAGCGCGCCUAUGGCAAAAAAUAUUUUGAAUUUUUAACUAUGAUUUUUAUGGAUUUUGAAAUUAUGGGUUGUAUUUAAAGAUUUUGGUGCUAAUUUUGAUUUUUGUGAUCGAGUGUGACACUGCUGAUUAUUGUGAAUUAUUAAGCCGAUUUUGUUAGAAGCAGUGUUAACUGUGUUGAAGAAUUAAAAAUGUUGAGCCCUCUCAAAAUUUUAUUGUUUAAAUAAUCACAUGAUUUGUAUAUUUGUGUCAAAACUGUUGGGUAUCUGAUAAUGACAUUAGGAUUAGGGAUAGUAUAGGUAGGGACAAAACAAGUGUAGUGUUGGAUAUCUGCUACUUAGUAAUAUAGCCCUGUGCAAUUGUACGUAAGGUUUACUGAGUUCCCGGUUGUGUUGGGAUCUAGAACUUGCCCAGUUGCUUUUACUAAGGUCUAGGAUAGUUAAGUAUGAAGUGAUCAUAGGACCUUUUUGUAUGAGUCUACUUCAGCCUAAAAUGCCUACCAAAUAAGUAAAUCCCCUUGGUCCAAAUGUUUGAGCCUUAAUAAGCCAAUUUUUCUUCUUACACCUAUUGCAUUCCCAUUUAGUUGAAAGAAAUCUAUUUUUGACCCUGAUCCUUCUAUGGAUAAUGUGCACCUCAACUCAGGAAAAUAGUUUAAGUUGAGGGUGGCUAUUAUGGGGUGCGUAAGAGCAAACACGUAUGAAAAAAAAGGUUUAAGAAAAAUAGCUGAAAUAUGGGCAGGUACGAAAAGAAAGAAAAGUGCCAAGUAUUGUAAAGCAAAAGAAAAGUUAAGCACUAGAAAAUGUUAAGCCUGACCAGUUUAGAAUAUGCUUAAAAAGAUAAAAGAGAUAUAAGGGUAAAAAUAAAUUAAAAAGUGGAAAGUACCCCAAGAAAAAUGUAGUGUCAAGGAGACGUAGUCACUAAAAGAAUACCAAAAUAUAUCCCACCAGCCCCUAUCCUACGUUAUAAGCCAAAGAAAGUCCUAUAGUGAUUUUACCAUGACUGUCUGAAAACUUAGGAAAAGAGCAUAAGGACAGCCUAUGGUAUUCUCUGCACACGGUGAUACUUCUUUGUUAGAUCCCAAAAGAAGUUGAUAUAUGAAGAGAGAAUGAGAUUUCUUUGGCUGUGAGUCCACAUGGAUUAUUUUGCUAGGUUUCUAAAUUAUUUGACAUGUGUAAAAUAUAUCUGUGCCCAAUUGUCUAUUGAUAAUGUAAUGCCAUCAUCAGAUCCCUUCAUGUUUCUACAUGAGUUGAGAUUGCUAUACGCAAGUGCGAGUUGAAAAUAAAGGGGGGAACUACAAAAUUGAAAUUAAAUUCAAAAUCACUUCCAUGGGUUGUUGUAUGAGAUCUUCCUGUUUUGAGCAUUACCUCGAGGGUAGAAAAUAGUAUUUGGUUUUGUUUGCCUGAGGACAUGCAAAAAUCUAAGUUGAGAGUGUUGAUGUGGCAUGGAAACACGACACUUUUGAUGCUUAAAAUCGAGAAUUUAUGCAUGAACUUAGGGUGUUUGAUUAGAUAUGAUGCACUUUAGUGUGAAUUGCAGGUAAAACAGGUCAAAAAUAGUACUUGAAAGUAAAGAGAAGAAAAGACCUAAAAAAGACAAACUUUGAUCAGUAUACGAGUCAUCCCCUAAGUCGUAACAAAUCAAUACGACUCAUAUGCUGAAUCAUAAGUAUAACAGAACCAAAAGAGAAAUUGAAGAACCAAAUCUGAGGAAGAUACAACUCAAGUAUCUCAGUCAUAAUGCAUGAUAUGAGUCGUAAGCAUAACACAAUCCAAGAUACUAUCUAGGAUUGAAGUGUCAGAUGUAUACGAGUUGAAAGUCUGAGUACGACUCAUAUCGAGAUGUUGUAUGCAAACCAGUGAUCAAGAUCUGAAAGGACUAAAGUCCUAUGUGGAUACGGAUGAAGAAUCUGAGUUGUACACAUGGUUACAACUCAUGAGUUGGGAUCGUAAGCUGAGUAGAGAGUUGAAGCCAUGGGCAGACUAGGUGCUGGAUUGGUUAUGACAAGGUAGGGUACGACUCGUAAGAUGAGAAUAUGAGUGAUGACUGAGUUGUACCAACUGCCAACUUAACUUUACCUUUCCUAUUUUUAAUAGGAAUUUACUGUUAUUUUGAGAUAUUAUAAGAACCCUAGGGUUUGUCUUUUAUUAGGUUAGUUUCUAUUACAUUCUAUAACAUACUUCAACAUACUUUACAAUUGUUUUUGAGAUUUUAGGGUUUUAUUCAAUUCAAGACUUUGAAUUUUAUUCAUAUUAUUAUUGUACGAUUGAUUUUAUGUAUUCUUUAUUGAUAAUCAUGGUUUGUUGCACAAACAUGAGCGGCUAAUCUCCUUAGCUUGGGUUGUGGGAACCCUGGUGGAUUAGAAAUAUAGUAGAAGUGUGAAACACAUCGGUUCUAGGGUUAUGCAUGUAUUCUAAUUCUUCUUCGUUAAAACUGAUUUCAAGUACCUACAACAUCUUCAUAUAAUAACCUAUAUUCACAUUCUUUCGACAACCAAAAAGCUUGUGAUUUGGAAAAGAAGAUUAGGACAAUAAUUUAGGAUUUCUACCUCCAUCUUAAAGUCCACGCAUUCCAUAUUAUCACUUUGUCCGAUAACCAAGGAUCAAGUGAACUGGGGCCGUAGCACAGGGCAACUAAGUGACAUCCGACAACGAUAACCAAGUCAAAGAGUGAUAUUUAUCUCAGCACUCAAAAGAUGGAUGAUAAUAUAUAGCUUGUAGGCUUUAGAUGCAUAGAUAAAAAACAGUGGGUUGAUCACUAGAAAAGUACAGAGUUAAGACUUCAGGGGGAACACAGACCUAGCGUUCGUCUCUGAUUGAUUACAUCUCAAAAACACUAAAGAAUUGGCUACUCUUCUAUAUUGAUAACAAAAUCCCCCAUUUAAUUUCCGGCACUUCUUAAGGAUUAAACUAAAACAAAUCGACCCUAACCUAGUUGGGUUAUUAUAUUUGCAUCAACCGUAUUAUAACUCUGAUUGAGGUGUAGUUUUGGGCAACAUCAGAAAUCAUCGCUGAUUGUUGUAAAUUCUAUUAAGGAUAAUUCUCCAAAUAAUAUAAAAAUGAAGAAAUUUUCUAGACAAGAGAUAGAAUAGACCAAGAAAAUAUUCAAAGGCAAGUGCUGCAAUUGCAGUGAUGCUGGUCACAAAGCUCUAAAUAGUCAAGUUCUAAAUAAGAACAAGAAAAGAAAUUAGAUAAACAUGUUGGAAGAAACUAAAAAGAUUGAAAAUCCAUAUGCUAUGAUCUCUGAAUGCAAUCUAGUUGGAAAUCCAAAUGAAUGGGGGUUUGAUUCAGGAGCCACUAGACAUGUUUGUGUAGACAAAGAAGUUUUUUGCUACUUAUGAUACCGCUGGUUUCAAAGAAGUGAUUUUCAUGGGAAAUAAUGCAAUAACCAAGAUUAAAGGAAGUGGAAAGAUAUUCCUAAAAAAGACUUCCGACAAGGUAUUGACUCUCAAUAAUGUUCUCUAUGUUCCUACUAUUAGGUUGAACUUAGUGUCGGCAAUACUUAUUUAAAAAUGGCUUUAAAUAUGUGUUUAUUUUGGAGAAAGUUAUAAUAUGCAAGAAUGAAACGUACAUAGGAAAGGGCUGCCUCAGUGAGGGCCUUUUCAAACUUGAUGGGAUGGUUGUUGAACUGUAGAAAGUUUAGGCUUAUUUGUACUUGCUAGAGUCAAAUGAUUUGUAACAUAGUUAUUUUGGACAUGUCAUAUACAAAAUCUUGUGAAAACUAAUUAGUUUGGAAGUGUUGACUAACUUUGAGUGCAAUAAAUCAAAGUAUCAAACAUGUGUGGAAUCAAAGUAUGCCAAGAAUCUAUAUAAGUCCGUUGAAAGAACUUCCAAUACCUUAGACUUAAUCUAUACAGAUAUUUGUGAUAUGAAGUCAACACCAUCUCAUGGUGGAAGAAAGUAUUCUACAACUUUUAUUAAAGAUUUCACUAAAUACUGUUAUGUUUAUUUUCUAAAUGGUAAGGAUGAAGUAAUAGAAGUGUUUAGGCAAUAUGUAAGACCCUUAAAAUUUCAAUCAUUUUAUUUUUGAUCUUCGUGUAUUCAUAAUGUCAAUUCUUUACUUGAAUCAUGCUUAUGGGUGUUAAAAUUUUAUUGUGCAGUGAUGCUGGUCACAAAGCUCUAAAUAGUCAAGUUCUAAAUAAGAACAAAAAAAUAAAUUAGAUAAACCUAUUGGAAGAAACUGAAAAGAUUGAAAAUCCAUAUGCUAUGAUCACUGAAUGCAAUCUAGCUGGAAAUCCAAAUGAAUGGUGGUUUGAUUCAGGAGCCACUAGACAUGUUUGUGUAGACUAAGAAGCUUUUUGCUACUUAUGAUACUGCUGGUUUCAAAAAAGUUAUUUUCAUGGGAAAUAAUGUAAUAACCCAGAUUAAAGGAAGUGGAAAGAUAUUCCUAAAAAAGACUUCCGACAAGGUAUUGACUCUCAAUAAUAUUCUCUAUGUUCCUACUAUUAGGUCGAACUUAGUGUCGGUAACACUUAUUUAAAAAUAGAUUUAAAUAUGUGUUUAUUUUGGAGAAAUUUAUAAUACGCAAGAAUGAAACGUACAUAGGAAAGGGCUACCUCAGUGAGGGCAUUUUCAAACUUGAUGUGAUGGUUGUUGAACUGUAGAAAGUUUAGGCUUAUUCGUACUUGCUAGAGUUAAAUGAUUUGUAACAUAGUUAUUUUGGACAUGUCAUUUACAAAAUCUUGUGAAAACUAAUUAGUUUGGAAGUGUGGACUAACUUUGAGUGCAAUAAAUCAAAGUGUCAAACAUGUGUGGAAUCAAAGUAUGCCAAGAAUCUAUAUAAGUCCGUUGAAAGAACUUCCAAUAACUUAGACUUAAUCCAUACAGAUAUUUGUGAUAUGAAGUCAACACCAUCUCAUGGUGGAAGAAAGUAUUCUACAACUUUUAUUAAAGAUUUCACUAAAUACUGUUAUGUUUAUUUUCUAAAUGGUAAGGAUGAAGCAAUAGACGUGUUUAGGAAAUAUGUAAGACCCUUAAAAUUUCAAUCAUUUUAUUUUUGAUCUUCGUAUAUUCGUAAUGUCGAUUUUUGACUUGAAUUAUGCUUAUAGGUUUUAAUAGGGUAAUUUAAAAAAGUUUUGAAAUUUUCAAAAGGGGUUCAAGGUCAUUUUAGGACUCCAAGGUAGUGGUGGUCCACAAUAUCACCAUGUCACGGAGGUUACCCUCUGCGAUAUCGGCGUGGCAUGAAGGAUAAUCUUUGCAAUAACAGCGUGCACUUCCAAGGACACGUAUUUUGGGUGAAUUAUGGCUGAAUCACGUGUUAUUGGGUAUAUAUAAGGGUGAGAAAUUGACCCUUUUAACUCUUGGACGCGCAUUUUAAUUCUGUGAAACUUUCCCAACCUGGACCCCUGGCGUGACGUGGCGCUAUCGUGCCGUGUCACUGGAAUUUGAUAACUCUGAAUUUGAGCCUUGAUGCAAUGUGCCAUAAUCUUAAAGGCUCACUGGAUUUUGACGAUUGCUAUUUUGGCUGGCUCCGCGAUGCGUUGAUGGCUCAGGUGGCAUACUGUUUUACUAAAAUGGCUCUAACUCUUCACUCGGGUGUCAGAUUUGGGAGAAUUUGGUAUCUAUGGAAAGCUUAUUCAAUUUUCCACAUGAUAAAAAGUGAAAAUAUUGAAAAUACUACAUGUAUAAAAGUGGAUUCAUCUUUGAAACAAGUCUUUAAAAUUUCUAAGACAAUCUUAAGUUAGGUAGAAGUACGGGGUAUUACAUACCCUUCAGUUAAAAAGAUCAAACAAUCUCAUUCACUUCUCUAAUACCUAAACAAAAAAAGCUUAGGUUUUUUACUGUUCAUUCGUCAUCCGGGCUCCAAACUUCAAAUUGACUUUGAAUUCUUAUGUGUUUUAGGCAUGUUUCUUUUCCCUAAAUUUUAAUUUUACAUUAUGGAAUUAAUUAAAUAAGUUUUUACAUGAUUUAAAUUGUGGGUUUUAAAAUUGGUUUGAGGGGUUUUAGUGGUUCCUUUUUGAAUUUCGUUUUCCAUAUUUUGAAUUGAUUAUUCAUGCUUUAAAUUUAUAUUUUUGGGACUGAAUUGAUUUAUUAUUUAAAUGGUUGAAAUGGGGGACACCAGUUUCUCUAAGUUGGAUGAAUUUUGUCUUGGAAUUGCAUGAACCUCAAUCGAUGUUGUAAAUUUGAUUUUUUAUUAUGAAAAAUUGCACUGUUUAACUUGUUUUGAAACCUAAUGCAUUGUGUUAGUGGAUGAUUGGACAUAAAAAUGGAUUUGGAUUUUCUUGUUGUCCAUGAUUUGGAUUUUAAUUGAACUUGAGAGUUCAAUGUUUUUAUCUGAAUUGGUUUGACAUGUUUAAUUUAGCUUGCAAGCUUAUUGGCAUGAUGAUACCAAGUGGUAAAUUCCAUAAUGAAUGACUCCUAGGUUAAUGGUAUGAGUUAUGUGUAAAUUAAUUUUAAUUUUGGCUUAAAGGGGGUUGUGUAGCUUAUCAUGAAGCUGUAAGCCUCGGGGGGACAUAUACGUGAAACCACAUUUGCCGGCUUUAGGAGUCUAUAUGACCGUGUACUAGAUACACACUUCAUAUAUAUAUAUAUAUCUAGGAUGGCUAUUGUGCAGUGUAUCUUUGGUUUUACCUUAAAAUUUCCUCGGUUCAUGUAGCAACAUGCACCGAGCCUUUUCAGUGGGCGGAGCUAAAUCCAUAUAGCCCGUGGGUGCCUUUAGGACAGCUCGAGCUACAUGUCUAGGUUAAUGGUUUUAAAAAUAUGAUGUUCAUGACCCUUAUCCUAUCCCAGCAUCUUAUAUAUAUAUAAUGUUCAUGAACCUUAUCCUAUGCCAGAUGAGGAUAAUGGUUUUAAAAAUAUAAUGUUCAUGACCCCUAUCCUAUGCUAGGUAAGGGUCCCACCAUUCUCCUUUGGGGACAUUGCCAGAUGAGGGUCGCUCAUAGAUUUUCCUUAUUAGUGGCCCGGUAUUGACACCCUUCUAAUUGGGAGUUACAGAUUGGACCCUAACUCAGCUAUAAUAGCUUAUUAUGGGCAUGUCGGUUAGAUGACUAUCUCCUACAGUUUGAGUCUCAGUCUCAGUAAAAGAACUCAGAUAGUUCUUUAGAUUCAGGACUGUUAGAUACAGUCUCACAGUUUAGCACAGAACUCAACUAGUUCUAUUAGAAUCAGUACUGUCAGACACAGUCAGUUAAUAUAAAACACAUGUUAGCAGUAUUCAGAUUUAGUAUUAUCAUGACUUCAGUUACAGUUCACGUAUUCAUGCAUGUAUUCUCACGUAGUUAUGUUGGUGUUCAUGUCAGUCAGUUAUAGUUCAUGCAUAUGAACCCUUACAUUCAGCCUACUCACUUGCAUACUAGUACAUUCAAUCAUACUGACACAUUUGCGCUAUGGUGUUUUAUACGAUAGGUUCAGAAGCACGAGCUCUAGAGCAUCAGUAGCAUUCCAGUUUCAGCAGUCAAACUAGUAGUGAGUCCUCAUCAUUCGAGGAUAUUAUUAUUUGAUUAUUUUAUUCUUUCAGUACUUAGUUUAUUUUAGUAUUGGGAGUUAGUUGGGGACAUGUCCCAUCAAAUCCUUAUUCAAUUAGUUUUAGAGGCUUUCAGACUAUAGCAUGUUUAGACAGUUAUUUAAGUUAUUUUUCAGAUGUUAUGCUUUAUUAAAUAUUUGAACCUUAUGGCCUUUCAGCCUUUGAUUCUGCAUUUAUAUAGUAUAUUAUGCAGUGCUUAGGUACAGAUAUAAGUCAUGGGUUAUGUUGUGGUUUUUCGGUCUCAUGAGGACUGCGUAGCAUUCUAGGUACCAUAUUCAGGGCAUUACAAACUUUGUAUCAGAACCUAAGGUUCAAUAGAGUCCUAGGAAGUCUGAAAGCCACAUCUAGUAGAGUCUUCUACAUGGGUGUGUUGCGCACCACAUUUAUGUAUAGGAGGCUAUUAGAUAUUUUAUGAAUAGUUUCCCUUCUUUUAGUCUUCUUAUCGUGCCGGUAAGCAUGAGCUAAACUUAAAAUUUUGGUCUAAUUUAUUUCUCCUAUUUCAUUUACAGAAUAUGCCUCCCAAAAGAAGAAACAGAAAUCAGUCAGCCCCUCAACCCAUCCAAGCAGAUCCCUUGGACAAACAUGUAUCUCAUGAAGAGUUCAGAGCUAUAUUCACUACUCUUGCUAACUCAGUUGUUGCUCAGACUGAAUGUCUUGCUGCUUUUCCGGUCAACCCAGUGGCCAAUACUUCUGUAGCUAGGAUUUGAGACUUCACCCGAAUAAAUCCUUCAUCCGUUUUUUGAGUCUAAGACAGACGAGGACCCUCAGGAAUUCCUUGACCAGGUUCAGAAGGUUACGAAUAUCAUGGGAGUUACUACUAGUGUGAGUGCUGAGCUAGUUACAUAAUAGUUGCAGGAUGUGGCUCACACUUGGUUUAAACAGUGGAAAGCAGAGAGGGCUAGAGAUGCAGGGCCUACUAAGUAGGAGGAGUUUGCCACUGCCUUCUUAGAUUCUUUCCCCUAGAGCUGAAAGAAGAUAAGGUGUUGGAAUUUAUCAACCUCAGGCAGGGCAAUAUGAUAGUGAAAGAUUAUUCUCUUAAGUUUACUCAACUAGCUAGAUAUGCUCCUCAUGUGGUGGCAGGUAGCAGGGCUAAGAUGAGUAAGUUUGCUUCUGGGGUAAAUGAUAGUGUGGUCAAUGAGUGUAGAUCUGCCAUGCUGAUUAAUGAGAUAGACAUAGCCAGGCUUAUGAUCCAUGCUCAACAGAUAAAAGAGAUUAAGAUUAAGAUAAGAGAGAAGUAGAAUAAAAGAGCUAGAACUGAUAGCUUCAAUUACAAUCAGCCUAAGUUAAGGGUGGGUUCUCAGUUCCACCCAAAGUCAUCUGUUCCAGCUCCUUCCACAGAUAGUGCUCCAGUUCUUAAAUUAAGAAAGGGUAACAAAGAUAGGGCGCCAGGCUCUAAAUCUCAGGGCAGUGUUAGUAGUACUCGAACCAAUCCUAUUUGCCAGACUUGUGGUAAGAACCACAAAGGUAUUUGUAGAGCUAGCAGUGAUGUGUGUUUCAGAUGUGGAAAGCUAGGCCACAAAGUCAAAGAUUGUCCCCAAUCAGGCUUUCAGGGUCAGCAAAAUCGUUCCUCAGCUCAGUCUGGUCACCCAAAUUAGCAGGGUGCCACUUUUAGCAACCAAUGGGCAGCGCCCAAAUAGACUUUAUGCUCUUCAAUUCUGAUAGGAUUAGGAAAAUUCUCCUGAUGUGGUCACUGGUACAUUACAGAUCUUUCACUUGCAUAUUUACACGUUGCUAGAUCCACGAGCUUAUUUCUCUUUUGUUACUCCUUGUAUAGCAGUCAAUUUUAGAGUCAGUCCCAAAAUUCUAGCAAGGUCCUUCUAAGUCUCUACCCAAGUGGGUAAAACUAUCAUAGCCUGCCGGGUAUACAGGAACUCUUCGGUUAUGAUAUUUUAGCAAGUCACAUUAGCAGACUUAGUCGAAUUAGAGAUAACUGAUUUUGAUGUUAUUCUCAUUCCUGCUAUAACAUAGUCGACUGCAGAAAUAGAGUGGUCCAUUUUCUAUUUCUGGAUGAACCUAUCCUAGAGUAGAGGGGUAGUACUUCAGCGUUCAGAGGUUAUACUUUCGGGAACCGAAGAUGAUAUCUAAGGGAUGUGUCUAUCAUCUUAUUCGAGUUAAGCAUACUAGUUUCGAAACUCCUAGUCUUGAAUCAGUACCAGUAGUGAAUGAAUUCCCAGAUGUCUUUCCUAAAGAUCUUCCAGGAAUUCCUCCCAAAAGGGAAAUACACUUUGGCAUUAAUCUUCUUGCAGAUACUCAACCCAUAUUUAUUCUGCCAUAUUGAAUAGCACCCGCAGAACUCAGAGAAUUAAAAGAACAGUUGAAGGAUCUCUUAGAUAAGGGAUUCAUCAGACUUAGUAUGUCCCCGUGGGGUGCACCAGUCUUAUUCGUGCAAAAGAAAGAUGGUUCUCUUAGAAUGUCCAUUGAUUACCGUCAGCUCAAUAAAGUCAUGGUUAAAAACAAGUAUCCACUUCCCAGAAUCGAUGAUUUGUUUGACCAACUUUAGGGUGACAACUAUUUCUCUAAGAUAGACCUCAGAUCAGGCUAUCAUCAGCUCAGAGUCAGAGAAUAUGACAUUUCAUAAAUAGCUUUCCAUACUCAGUAUGGUCACUUUGAAUUUUUAGUCAUGUCCUUUGGUCUUACCAUUGCCCCAACAACUUUUAUGGACUUGAUGAACCAUGUUUUCAAGAAGUAUUUGGACAUGUUCAUCAUAGUAUUUAUAGAUGAUAUUCUUUUCUAUUCCCGCAGUAAGCGUGAUCAUGCAGACCAUUUCUAAUAGUAUUGCAGACUCUCAAAAAUCAUCAGUUGUUCACCAAAUUUAGUAAGUACAAAUUUUGGAUAAGGUCAGUAGCAUUCCUUGGUCAUAUCAUUUCUGGUAAUGGCAUUAGAGUUGAUCCUCAAAAGACCGAAGCAGUAAGAAAUUGGCCUCGCACUAUCUCUCCAUCAGAUAUUAGGAGUUUUUUGGGGUUGGUUGGCUAUUACAGAUGGUUUGUUGAGGGAUUUUCUUCUAUUGCAUCCUCUAUGUAUAGAUUAACUCAGAAGAAAGUCAAGUUUCAGUGAUC
rnacentral:lncRNA from 1 species